rnacentral:tRNA from 2 species
GGGCGGUUAGCUCAGUUGGUAGAGCGCUUCGUUUACACCGAAGAUGCCGGGGGUUCGAGUCCCUCACCGCCCA